rnacentral:misc_RNA from 1 species
GAAAUAGCAAAAAUUGAAGAUCCGUUUCUGUGCUGGGUGAAAAACCAAGCUCGUUAAAUUGGAUACCAUUUACAGCACCUUGGUGA